UAAUAUUGGUGGAAAGUGGACUGAUGUUUAGAACUUACUUUCUAUUGAGAAAGAUUAUAAAGAUAUGAGAACUAGUGCACCUUGACUGAGAAACAAAGAAACUCUUUGAGAAAGCAGCUCAACCAGUUUUAUGAGAGUAAAUUUAGGAAUUAAUUAAAGUAGCUUUAUAAGAUGUAUUUUUAGAAUAAUGUUAGAAAUAUUAUCCUAUUUAGACUUUUGGAUUUAGAAAUUCUUAAGUUUUUAGUUGUAUGGGUUUCUGAUAUGUUUUAAGAAUGAUUUAUAUUUUAAGUAUAAGAUUUAAGGGGACUUUUUUAGAUGGGAAUUUUAGAUUAGAAAUAAAGUAAAGGUGUACUUUAAACUUAAAGGUUAAUGAUUGGUUAGGAGACUUAGAGUCUGGUUACGUAGUUUGGCAUUAGUUAAUAAGAAAAUCGCAUAUCUUGGGGAAAAUAGUAAAUCUUGGGAAAAUCUGAAAAAUGUAAAUUAGUGAUGCAUUUUAUUAAUGAUUCUGUACUUUUAAUAAUUAAAUAACUAAAGGUCAUAUCCUGGAAAAAGGUAAAUUAAUGUUACAAUUUUUGUACCCCUAAUUAUGGUUAAGGAAAUGUCAUGUCUUGGCAAAAGUUUUAAAUUGUAUAAUCAGUGACGUAUUCUGAAUCUAUAAUGAUGAGAAAAAAUGCAAUAAAAGAUGACCCAGAGAAAGCUGCAUUAGAGCUCUCUCUCUGGAGAUUGCUCCAGCAGAACGA
rnacentral:lncRNA from 1 species